ACUCAACCACAUCACCAAAUAUUUUGAGAAAAUAUGAUUGUAGGGUCGGGUCAGAACGAGAAUACGACCAUUUUUAGCAUUCCAAGACCUCUGGCCUGUUGUCAAACUUUCCCUUUCAGCUGGUGCCAUGUUGUGUCUUGAGCUAUGGUAUCACUUGGUUUCAUGGCUGCAGUGAGCGUUCGAGUAUCAAACGAGCUUGGUAAAGGAAGCGCCAAAGCCGCAAAGUUCUCAAUCGUUGUCACAGUGCUUACAUCGUUG